UGCAUCUUCGAAGCCACGACGAGAGCUGGGCGCUGUUCAGGCACACUUUGAAGGUAAACAUCUUCCCAGAGAUGGAGAAUCUUAAAGGACACAUCAUAAGAAAAUGUGGGGGCCUGCCAUGGGUAAUUGUGAAACUAAGUGAACUACUAUCACAAAAAGAUGCAACUCUAAAGGAGUGGUCAAAAGUUCUUGACCGCUUAAAUCAAGAUCAAGAGCCCUGGUUAGAAAUCCUAGAUGAGAUUAACAAGCAUUUACCUUUGUAUUUGAGAAGAUGUCUCUUUUAUUUUGGAUUAUUUCCAGCAGGCUUUAAGAUCCCUGCAAGAAGAUUGAUUGCCUUGUGGGUUGCAGAAGGUUUGGGGCGCCAACAGAGUAAUGAACAAUCCCCUGAAUAUGUUGCAGAGCCAUGCUUGAUAGAGUUAAUGAACUAUAAUAUGGUUCAGGUUACAGAAAAGAAACUCAAUGGGAAAGUUAAGAAAUGUUGCCUACCUGAAGCUCUGCUGGUACACUGGUUCUCAAAAGCCAAGGAAGCUAAUUUUCUUCAAGGUCACUCUGACGUUUCCAACACCAACAUAGGUGUAA
rnacentral:lncRNA from 1 species